rnacentral:rRNA from 1 species
UACGAAGGGGGCUAGCGUUGCUCGGAAUUACUGGGCGUAAAGGGCGCGUAGGCGGCGACCCAAGUCAGAUGUGAAAGUCCUGGGCUUAACCUGGGGACUGCAUUUGAUACUGGGUUGCUUGAAUGCAGGAGAGGAUAGCGGAAUUCCCAGUGUAGAGGUGAAAUUCGUAGAUAUUGGGAAGAACACCGGUGGCGAAGGCGGCUAUCUGGACUGUGAUUGACGCUGAGGCGCGAAAGCGUGGGGAGCAAACAGG